rnacentral:rRNA from 1 species
CCUACGGGUGGCAGCAGUAGGGAAUCUUGCUCAAUGGGGGAAACCCUGAAGCAGCAACGCCGCGUGGAGGAUGAAGGUUUUCGGAUUGUAAACUCCUUUUGUUAGAGAAGAUAAUGACGGUAUCUAACGAAUAAGCACCGGCUAACUCCGUGCCAGCAGCCGCGGUAAUACGGAGGGUGAAAGCGGUACUCGGAAUCACUGGGCGUAAAGAGCGCGUAGGCGGGAUAGCAAGUCAGAUGUGAAAUCCAAUGGCUUAACCCUAGAACUGCAUUUGAAACUGUUAUUCUAGAGUAUGGGAGAGGUAGGUGGAAUUCUUGGUGUAGGAGUAAAAUCCGUAGAGAUCGAGAGGAAUACUCGUUGCGAAGGCGACCUGCUGGAACAUAACUGACGCUGAUGCGCGAAGGCGUGGGGAGCGAACAGGAUUAGAUACCCUAGUAGUC